rnacentral:rRNA from 1 species
CCUACGGGAGGCAGCAGUGAGGAAUAUUGGUCAAUGGGCGGAAGCCUGAACCAGCCAAGUAGCGUGAAGGAUGACGGCCCUACGGGUUGUAAACUUCUUUUAUACGGGAAUAACGCGCCUUACGUGUAGGGCUUUGCAUGUACCGUAUGAAUAAGGAACGGGUAAAUCCGUUCCCGCAGCCGCGGUAAUACGGAAGGUCCGGGCGUUAUCCGGAUUUAUUGGGUUUAAAGGGAGCCUAGGGCGCAUGUCAAACGUGCUGUGAAAUGUCCGGGCUCAACCCGGGCCUUGCAGCUCGAACUGGCGUGCUUGAGUCCGCGUGAAGCAGGCGGAAUUCGUCGUGUAGCGGUGAAAUGCUUAGAUAUGACGCAGAACCCCGAUUGCGAAGGCAGCUUGCUGCAGCCGAACUGACGCUGAUGCUCGAAAGCGCGGGUAUCGAACAGGAUUAGAUACCCCAGUAGUC